GUAUUUCCGCCGGCGCGAAACGAGCGUAGCUUCCUUGUCGUGUGGCCUCAGUCCUUCGCCGUCCCUCGCCGUCCUUCGCCAUCGCACGCCACCGCACCCCAUCUCUCGAAAUCUGCAGACAUCUUGAUUUUUCCCACGCUGUCUGUCAGGUCUCCGCCGCCACUCGACGCCAGGGCGCCGGGCCUUGUGGGCUGUGCUGCACCUCGGACGGCUUCGCACCAGCCAGCGCCCUCUCUCUCCUGCAGCACUCUGAUCUGCACCCCCUGAGGGGCUUCCACUGUCCGCGGGGUGAGAAUGCCCCUGGGAGUGUCACAUGACUGCCGCCCCAUGUGUGUGAGAGGCGUCCUCUGGGAGAGCAUGGAUCCUGAGGUCCCAGGAUUGUCAGCUGACCUCUGUCCUGUGUGCCCAGUGGCCCCAGGUGACGUGUCUUCAAGAAGAGGCUGAGCUGCGGUGCUUGUAAGAGUCAUGUGCUGUUCCUGGGGCUUGGAUGAUGUAGGGGAAGCAAGGUGAAAGUGGUAUCCCGUGGUUCCACGUUCUGUCCUGCUGUGGGGCUGUCCCUCACAUGCUUUCAGUGGCUGUUGCAGAGGAAGAGCCUCCGGAAAUCUGCGUCUCAGCCUUAGAUCCAAGGACAGUCCAAGGAAGUCCUAAGACCAUGGAGUUGGUGAUCUGGGAUCUGGGUUUGCUGAUAUUUCUCACCGUGAAUCUCUUGGUGGUGUUUGUGGGCACGAGAGGGGCAGAGAAUGGAGAGUGAGGCUACCACAUGAAGCGUCACCAGAGCUGCUCCCUGCUGCCUGCUCAGAGCACCCCGGAUCCACUGUUCAAUCUGCACAAGAUUCGGGGUCCAGACAUGGGAGACUUCAGCUGCCUCAGAGGACCGUGGACAGGGAAGGCCAGCCUCGCAUCCCUCUGUCCAUGCCUGGAAUGACUUUAAUAACCAAGAGUUUUAUUUUUGAAUUUGUAGCUGUCGUUCACUUUUUACCCACCCAUUCAAUAAACCUUACAGAAUUGCUC
rnacentral:lncRNA from 1 species